rnacentral:rRNA from 1 species
AGGAUAAACGCUGGCGGCGUGCCUAACACAUGCAAGUCGAACGCGCUUUCGGGCUUCGGUGCGAGAGCGAGUGGCGGACGGGUGAGUAACACAUGGGUACCUACCUUGGAGUGAGGGAUACCGGCGAGAAAUCGCCGACAAUACCGCAUAGGCUUCUUCACAAGGGAAGCAAAGUGACGCGAGUCACGCUUUGAGAUGGGCCUGUGGCCGAUUAGCUAGUUGGGGGGGUAACGGCUUCCCAAGGCGACGAUCGGUAGCUGGUCUGAGAGGACGAUCAGCCACACUGGGAUUGAGAACGGCCCAGACUCCUACGGGGGGCAGCAGUGAGGAAUUUUCCGCAAUGGAGGCAACUCUGACGGAGCAACGCCGCGUGCAGGAGGAAGGUUUUCGGAUCGUAAACUGCUUUUCUCGGGGACGAGCAAGGACGGUACCCGAGGAACGAAGCCCCGGCUAACUACGUGCCAGCCAGCCGC